GGCAGCGUGGCGUUGUUGGCAAGUCGAGGCAGAUCACGAGUCUGCGUCCCCCACUGUCUCUGUGGCUGGAGAGAGUUCUCAACAAGUUUCCGCCUCCGCCACAGACGCUUUGAGAUUAGUUGGACACUGACAGCUGUCCAGAAAAACAAACUACAGGCCAGUGUGAUGGGUAUCACUUCAAAGAGAUGGCAGUGAAAUCUUCUAUUGGGUGUCUCCUUCAAUCUUGAGGUUACAGCCAGGAAACCUGUGUUUCAGAUAACAGACUGCAAGUCCUCAAAGGUGUAAAGUCUGUCUUAUCUACCUAGCAUAAUGACCACUAAAAAGGAGGUGAAGAACCAGAUCCAUGCCUAAGUGAGGUAGGAAGAGCAUGAUUUACCUUAAUAGCAGCAACAUAUUGACAGAGAAAUUUGAAUAGCACUAAUAUAUUCUAGGGUAAUGGCCAGAUGUGAAAUAAUUUAACCUCAAAUAUAAUUUAUUUUCACAGUUGAAACUUCAAAGCACAAUGAAAAAGAGCCUUCAUGCCAGAUUCCAAUCCCCUUUCUAUAAAUUAGUGGUUAUGUCAUUUUUUGUCACAUUACAUAAAUUCCAUAAUAUUUAUUUUCCCAAUCACUGAAACAAGAUAAUAGCACUUGCUACACAAUAUUUUUGUGAAAAACAGAUAGUAUAACAUGAAAAACUUUUGGAACAUUUUCUGAAAUAGACUCAGUACUUAAUUUCUACUUUUUGUUAUAACUAUUAGUAUGCAUGUAAGAUCUUAAUACCUUGGAACAAAAUUCUC